rnacentral:rRNA from 1 species
UACGAAGGGGGCUAGCGUUGCUCGGAAUCACUGGGCGUAAAGGGUGCGUAGGCGGGUCUUUUAAGUCAGGGGUGAAAUCCUGGAGCUCAACUCCAGAACUGCCUUUGAUACUGAAGAUCUUGAGUUCGGGAGAGGUGAGUGGAACUGCGAGUGUAGAGGUGAAAUUCGUAGAUAUUCGCAAGAACACCAGUGGCGGAAGGCGGCUCACUGGCCCGAGUACUGACGCUGAGGCACGAAAGCGUGGGGAGCAAACAGG